UACAGAGGGUGCAAGCGUUAAUCGGAAUUAUUGGGCGUAAAGGGCUUGUGGGUUGUUCUAUAAGUUAGAUGUGAAACCCCUGGGCUUAACCUGGGACGUGCAUUUAAUACUGUAGGGCUAGAGUAUGGUAGAGGAGUAGGGAAUUCCUGGUGUAGCAGUGAAAUGCGUAGAGAUCAGGAGGAACAUCGGUGGCGAAGGCGCUACUCUGGACUAAUACUGACACUGAGGAGCGAAGGCGUGGGGAGCAAACAGG
rnacentral:rRNA from 1 species